rnacentral:lncRNA from 1 species
CUUGUGCGUGGGGUGCUGCAGAAUGAGAAGACGCGAGGCAGAAACUCUUGGAGCGGCUGAGUUGGGUUCAUCUUGAGAGUUUCAUGUUUGAAGCCCAUUAAGAGCCCAGCACAGGCCUGCAGGGCUCCAGGUGGACGGAGGGGACUGUGAACCGUGCAGCUGCUUGGAAUAGGCUGAUGACCAUGACAGGUGAUGAGCAAUGUGGCCGACACUGUCCUUCUUUAAACAGCAUCCAGAGGUAGAAGAAAAGUAGGCAUGUCUCCUCCAUCUUUCCUUUUCUUGUGAUGGUGACCUUGGAAGCGUAUGACCUGGCUGGUAUAGGUACUA